CCUACGGGAGGCAGCAGUGGGGAAUAUUGGACAAUGGGGGAAACCCUGAUCCAGCGACGCCGCGUGAGUGAAGAAGUAUUUCGGUACGUAAAGCUCUAUCAGCAGGAAAGAAAAUGACGGUACCUGACUAAGAAGCCCCGGCUAACUACGUGCCAGCAGCCGCGGUAAUACGUAGGGGGCAAGCGUUAUCCGGAUUUACUGGGUGUAAAGGGAGCGUGGACGGCAGCGCAAGUCUGGAGUGAAAUGCCGGGGCGCAACCCCGGAACUGCUCUGGAAACUGUGAAGCUGGAGUGCAGGAGAGGUAGGCGGAAUUCCUGGUGUAGCGGUGAAAUGCGUAGAUAUCAGGAGGAACACCGGCGGCGAAGGCGGCUUACUGGACUGUAACUGACGUUGAGGCGCGAAGGCGUGGGGAGCAAACAGGAUUAGAUACCCGUGUAGUC
rnacentral:rRNA from 1 species